GUCCUUCCCUGCUCACUUCUGAGAUGAAAAUUGCUGAAAAAAUUAGAGUUCCAUCCAGACAGAUUGGGUGGAGACAAGAAGAUGGAAGGUUCCCAGGGAACGAGAAUGUGGGACAGGGCGAUUCCCAACUUCUCCCACCGGUGUUUGUCUCCCUCUGCACGGUCACAGGCUCCACGGUCACUGGCUCUGUGAGAACACUUGCUCCAGAGCCUUGCCUGGGGCCCUGUGUGCCAGGCCUGAGUUGGGUACCGGGGACUUACUAGGGUCACUAAAUGGGGGCCGUUCCUACAGGGCUCCGUGUUCGGAGUCAGAGCCGUGUAAGUAUCACCUUGUUUG
rnacentral:lncRNA from 1 species